ensembl:snRNA U6 U6 spliceosomal RNA
GGGCUUCAUCAGCACAGAUGCUAAAAUUGGAAUGAUCAAGAGAUUGCAUGACCCUUGCACAAGGAUGACAUGCAAAUUCAUGAUGGGUUCCAUAUUUUU